GAUUCCGUAGCUCAGUUGGUAGAGCGGGGGAUUCUUAAUCCACCGGUCGUAGGUUCGAGUCCUACCGGAAUCA
rnacentral:tRNA from 1 species